rnacentral:ncRNA from 2 species
AUCUUUGCCUCCGAUUUUAGUAAUCAAGCUAUCACAUAGUUUGGUGAGAGGGAAUCCGGUGUGAAUCCGGAGCUGUUCCUGCAGCUGUAAUCCUCAUGAAGUUGGUUAGAAGUUCAAAAGCCACUGUUCCUAAGUCGGAAUGGGAAGGUUUCUAACCAGAGGAGAGCCAGAAUACCUGCUAAAGUCUUACAAUAACA